rnacentral:rRNA from 1 species
ACGGGGGGUGCAAGCGUUGUUCGGAAUUAUUGGGCGUAAAGAGCGUGUAGGCGGCUGAAUAAGUCAGAUGUGAAAUCCCUGGGCUUAACCCAGGAAGGGCAUUUGAAACUAUUGAGCUUGAGUAGGGGAGAGGAAGGGUGAAUUCCUGGUGUAGAGGUUAAAGUCGUAGAGAUCAGGAGUAACACCGGUGGUGAAGGCGCCUUUCUGGCCCUAAACUGACGCUGAGACGCGAGAGCGUGGGUAGCAAACAG